UACGUAGGGUGCAAGCGUUAAUCGGAAUUACUGGGCGUAAAGCGUGCGCAGGCGGUUUUGUAAGUCUGUCGUGAAAUCCCCGGGCUCAACCUGGGAAUUGCGAUGGAGACUGCAAGGCUAGAAUCUGGCAGAGGGGGGGUAGAAUUCCACGUGUAGCAGUGAAAUGCGUAGAGAUGUGGAGGAACACCGAUGGCGAAGGCAGCCCCCUGGGGUCAAGAUUGACGCUCAUGCACGAAAGGCGUGGGGAGCAAACGAGGAUUAGAGUACCC
rnacentral:rRNA from 1 species